rnacentral:rRNA from 1 species
GACGAACGCUGGCGGCGUGCCUAAUACAUGCAAGUUGAGCGCUGAAGGUUGGUACUUGUACCGACUGGAUGAGCAGCGAACGGGUGAGUAACGCGUGGGGAAUCUGCCUUUGAGCGGGGGACAACAUUUGGAAACGAAUGCUAAUACCGCAUAAAAACUUUAAACACAAGUUUUAAGUUUGAAAGAUGCAAUUGCAUCACUCAAAGAUGAUCCCGCGUUGUAUUAGCUAGUUGGUGAGGUAAAGGCUCACCAAGGCGAUGAUACAUAGCCGACCUGAGAGGGUGAUCGGCCACAUUGGGACUGAGACACGGCCCAAACUCCUACGGGAGGCAGCAGUAGGAAAUCUUCGGCAAUAGACGAAAGUCUGACCGAGCAACGCCGCGUGAGUGAAGAAGGUUUUCGGAUCGUAAAACUCUGUUGGUAGAGAAGAACGUUGGUGAGAGUGGAAAGCUCAUCAAGUGACGGUAACUACCCAGAAAGGGACGGCUAACUACGUG